rfam:Dipodomys ordii contig_41931, whole genome shotgun sequence.
GGGAAUGUGGCUUAGUGGUAGAGUGCUUGCUUAUUAUGCAUGAAGCCCUGGGUUCAAUUCCUCAGUACCA